rnacentral:rRNA from 1 species
GAUGAACGCUAGCGGCAGGCUUAACACAUGCAAGUCGAGGGGUAUUUAUCUUCGGAUAGAGAGACCGGCGCACGGGUGCGUAACGCGUAUGCAAUCUACCUUUUACAGAGGGAUAGCCCAGAGAAAUUUGGAUUAAUACCUCAUAGUAUAUAGACUCGGCAUCGAGAUUAUAUUAAAGUCACAACGGUAAAAGAUGAGCAUGCGUCCCAUUAGCUAGUUGGUAAGGUAACGGCUUACCAAGGCUACGAUGGGUAGGGGUCCUGAGAGGGAGAUCCCCCACACUGGUACUGAGACACGGACCAGACGCCUACGGGAGGCAGCAGUGAGGAAUAUUGGACAAUGGGCGCAAGCCUGAUCCAGCCAUGCCGCGUGCAGGAUGACGGUCCUAUGGAUUGUAAACUGCCUUUAUACGAGAAGAAACACUGCUACGUGUAGCAGCUUGACGGUAUCGUAAGAAUAAGGAUCGGCUAACUCCGUG